rnacentral:rRNA from 1 species
GCACCAGACUCCUACGGGAGGCAGCAGUGGGGAAUAUUGCACAAUGGGGGGAACCCUGAUGCAGCGACGCCGCGUGAGUGAAGAAGUAUUUCGGUAUGUAAAGCUCUAUCAGCAGGGAAGAAAAUGACGGUACCUGACUAAGAAGCCCCGACUAACUACGUGCCAGCAGCCGCGGUAAUACGUAGGGGGCAAGCGUUAUCCGGAUUUACUGGGUGUAAAGGGAGCGUAGACGGCAGAGCAAGUCUGAAGUGAAAUGCCGGGGCCCAACCCCGGAACUGCUCUGGAAACUGUGAAGCUGGAGUGCAGGAGAGGUAAGCGGAAUUCCUGGUGUAGCGGUGAAAUGCGUAGAUAUUAGGAGGAACACCAGUGGCGAAGGCGGCUUACUGGACAGUAACUGACGUUGAGGCUCGAAAGCGUGGGGAGCAAACAGGAUUAGAUACCCUAGUAA